CCUACGGGAGGCAGCAGUGGGGAAUAUUGGGCAAUGGGCGCAAGCCUGACCCAGCAACGCCGCGUGAAGGAAGAAGGCUUUCGGGUUGUAAACUUCUUUUAAGGGGGAAGAGCAGAAGACGGUACCCCUUGAAUAAGCCACGGCUAACUACGUGCCAGCAGCCGCGGUAAUACGUAGGUGGCAAGUGUUGUCCGGAUUUACUGGGUGUAAAGGGCGUGCAGCCGGAGAGACAAGUCAGAUGUGAAAUCCACGGGCUCAACCCGUGAACUGCAUUUGAAACUGUUUCCCUUGAGUGUCGGAGAGGUAAUCGGAAUUCCUUGUGUAGCGGUGAAAUGCGUAGAUAUAAGGAAGAACACCAGUGGCGAAGGCGGCAAUCUGGCUGGAAACUGACGCUGAGGUGCGAAAGCGUGGGUAGCAAACAGGAUUAGAUACCCUGGUAGUC
rnacentral:rRNA from 1 species